UCUCUGGGUUUGAUCUGCCAGUAGUCAAUAUGCUUGUCUCAAAGAUUAAGCCAUGCAUCGUCUAAGUACAAACCUUAAUACGGUGAAACGCGAAUGGCUCAUUAAAUCAGCCUAUGGUUCCUUAGAUCGUCUCAUCCUACUCGGAUAACUGUGGAAAA
rnacentral:ncRNA from 1 species